rnacentral:rRNA from 3 species
GGACGAACGCUGGCGGCGUGCUUAACACAUGCAAGUCGAACGCUGAAGCCCAGCUUGCUGGGUGGAUGAGUGGCGAACGGGUGAGUAACACGUGAGUAACCUGCCCCCUUCUUUGGGAUAACGCCCGGAAACGGGUGCUAAUACUGGAUAUUCACUGGCCUUCGCAUGGGGGUUGGUGGAAAGGUUUUUUCUGGUGGGGGAUGGGCUCGCGGCCUAUCAGCUUGUUGGUGGGGUGAUGGCCUACCAAGGCUUUGACGGGUAGCCGGCCUGAGAGGGUGACCGGUCACAUUGGGACUGAGAUACGGCCCAGACUCCUACGGGAGGCAGCAGUGGGGAAUAUUGCACAAUGGGCGAAAGCCUGAUGCAGCGACGCCGCGUGAGGGAUGACGGCCUUCGGGUUGUAAACCUCUUUCGCUCAUGGUCAAGCCGCAGCUUUGGGUUGUGGUGAGGGUAGUGGGUAAAGAAGCGCCGGCUAACUACGU